UACGGAGGGUGCAAGCGUUAUCCGGAUUCACUGGGUUUAAAGGGUGCGUAGGAGGGCAGGUAAGUCAGUGGUGAAAUCUCCAAGCUUAACUUGGAAACUGCCAUUGAUACUAUCUGUCUUGAAUACCGUGGAGGUUAGCGGAAUAUGUCAUGUAGCGGUGAAAUGCUUAGAUAUGACAUAGUACACCAAUUGCGAAGGCAGCUGGCUACACGAAUAUUGACACUGAUGCACGAAAGCGUGGGGAUCAAACAGG
rnacentral:rRNA from 1 species